AUUGAACGCUGGCGGCAGGCCUAACACAUGCAAGUCGAGCGGAUGAAGGGAGCUUGCUCCUGGAUUUAGCGGCGGACGGGUGAGUAAUGCCUAGGAAUCUGCCUGGUAGUGGGGGAUAACGUCCGGAAACGGGCGCUAAUACCGCAUACGUCCUGAGGGAGAAAGUGGGGGAUCCUCGGACCUCACGCUAUCAGAUGAGCCUAGGUCGGAUUAGCUAGUUGGUGGGGUAAAGGCCUACCAAGGCGACGAUCCGUAACUGGUCUGAGAGGAUGAUCAGUCACACUGGAACUGAGACACGGUCCAGACUCCUACGGGAGGCAGCAGUGGGGAAUAUUGGACAAUGGGCGAAAGCCUGAUCCAGCCAUGCCGCGUGUGUGAAGAAGGUCUUCGGAUUGUAAAGCACUUUAAGUUGGGAGGAAGGGCAGUAAGUUAAUACCUUGCUGUUUUGACGUUACCAACAGAAUAAGCACCGGCUAACUUCGUG
rnacentral:rRNA from 1 species